rnacentral:misc_RNA from 1 species
GAACGCAUCUUGCGCUCCUUGGUAUUCUGAGGAGCAUGCUUGUUUGAGUAUCAGUAAACACCUCAAAACUCUUGAUCUUUUUCAAGCGUUUUGGACUUGAGCAAACCCAACGCCUUUUCUUUUAAGAUCUGUUGCGGCGGGUUGCUUGGAAUGCAGGGGCAGCUGGACAAACUCCUUAGCUAAAAGCAUAUUUAUUUAGUCCCGUCAAACGGAUUAUUACUUUUUGCUGCAGCUAACAUAAAGGGAGUUUUGACCAUUAUGGCUGACUGAUGCAGGAUUUCACAGAGAAAAGGCCGGCAACGGUUUUGUCUCUGUCAAACUCGAUCUCAAAUCAAGUAAGACUACCCGCUGAACUUAAG